UAAAAAAUGACUCGGCAUCCAAACAAAAUCGACUUACUACCAUAAUUCUUAUCAGUUUCUUAAGACUCGCAUACCCAGAUGCUUCCUAUUGGCACGCGACCAAAUCAAGACGCUAUAAACCGAACAACGUAAAAAUGACAAACGACCUGGACAAAAGUUCGGGUUAAUAAAAAAGAGAAACCUUCUUUAGAAAUCCAAAGACAGAGCUCUGUCAGAGCUCUUGACUAAUUGCAAGCAGCAAGAAACGAGUGUCGACGUAAUAAACAGGACGAAAUAACAGAUUCAGCAGGCGACUCAACGAUCAAACGUGGAAUCAAGUGACGGUUGUGGAAAAGGAGGCUCCAGAAACUUAAGAGAGAGAGAGAGAGAGAGAGUCGAGAGGAAUACUGUGCCAACAAUUGCUCUGUGAUAAUUCAAUCCUAGAACUGUCAGCAACUUAACGGUAAGAGACUGGGUUAGACAUCAACUAAGGAUACAGGAAAGUAGGAUGAUGCUGCAUUACUAACUGACGACAUCGCUUGUUGAUCCCACUGAACCUAUUGUAGCAGAGGUGUAAAACGGUUUCCGACUGAAGAAUCUACAAGUCACACGGGAAAUCCUACUUCACGAGAAAUCAUUCUCGCGCUUUGCAGUCCAAAAGAGAGACUUCAAACGUGCAAUAAUUUCGUGACAAACAGUUGGCACCGACUGACCCAAUAUCGGCACUCCUGACGCAAGAAGAAUUAUCAGUCUACAGGCUAUAUUCACGAAACUAUAAAAAUUGCACAUUAUACACGAGGAAUGAUGCAAUUGCCAGCAGAGCCAUAGAUAGCAGAGGGAAAUAAGUAACGAUAAGAAGAAAAACAUACAGUCGAAUUCAUCUUCGAUCCCCGGACAGCAGACUCGAAGUUGAAAUACGUUACCUAUGGAUUUUCAUUGAUGGUGAUAAAUAACGAAUAUCGGGGCUACGACCAUGCGAUCCUUUCCAAUGGAUUCUCAGGCGAGCGCCGAUUGGUCCCGCUCAACAUUGCCGUUAUUCCAAGUCACCCGUUACUUGUUUCUAGACAACGCAACAACUUUUCAUCUAUGAUCGAUCCUUUACAGCUUCAUGAUUAUACGCACGAUAUACAGGGUCAUUCGAGAAACGCACCGCCUGAAGUUAGCCUGUCCAUUUAAUUUCUAUGACGCACCCACCUUCGGAUGGUACGUUUUUAGUGAACAACCCUGUAUAUGAAAUUUUUUUUUCAAAUUAUCUCGCUCGAUAACAUCAGCAUGGGAGUAAGUAACGCGAGAGUCUACAUUUUAAUAAUGGUCCUCGGGAGUGAACCAAAGUUGCGGGACUAAGUAUUUAUGCGAGUAGCGUCGCGACGCCGCUCGGGGCGCAACCAGCAUCUCCGCCUGACGCAUUCAAUAAUUGUAUCCAAGUUUAGCCGUGGCAGGAAUAGAAAAGAAGUUCGGAAACGGGUUUCCUGGAGUUUCUCGAAGCGAAAAGAAGAACUGAUGGAACCGAAUGAAACGGAAGACGGAGAGAGCGAGCGUCGACGGCGCACAAUAAGCUCG